UACGGAGGGUGCAAGCGUUAAUCGGAAUUACUGGGCGUAAAGCGUGCGUAGGCGGUUCGUUAAGUCUGCUGUGAAAGCCCCGGGCUCAACCUGGGAAUGGCAGUGGAUACUGGCGAGCUAGAGUGUGAUAGAGGAUGGUGGAAUUCCCGGUGUAGCGGUGAAAUUCGUAGAUAUCGGGAGGAACACCAGUGGCGAAGGCGGCGAUCUGGGAAGAUACUGACGCUGAGGUGCGAAAGCGUGGGGAGCAAACAGG
rnacentral:rRNA from 1 species